GUAGGGUGCGAGCGUUAAUCGGAAUUACUGGGCGUAAAGCGUGCGCAGGCAGUUCGUUGUGUCGGCGGUGAAAGCCCCGGGCUCAACCUGGGAAUGGCCGUUGAAACUGGCGAACUGGAGUGUGGCAGAGGGGGGUGGAAUUCCGCGUGUAGCAGUGAAAUGCGUAGAGAUGCGGAGGAACACCGAUGGCGAAGGCAGCCCCCUGGGCUGACACUGACGCUCAGGCACGAAAGCGUGGGGAGCAAACAGGAUUAGAUACCCUGGUAGUCCACGCCCUAAACGAUGUCGACUGGGUGUUGGGGAAGCGAUUUCCCAGUACCGUAGCUAACGCGUGAAGUCGACCGCCUGGGGAGUACGGCCGCAAGNUUAG
rnacentral:rRNA from 1 species